UACGUAGGGUGCAAGCGUUGUCCGGAAUUAUUGGGCGUAAAGAGCGUGUAGGCGGCCAGAUAGGUCCGUUGUGAAAACUGGAGGCUUAACCUCCAGCGGUCGAUGGAAACCAUCUGGCUAGAGUCCGGAAGAGGAGAGUGGAAUUCCUGGUGUAGCGGUGAAAUGCGCAGAUAUCAGGAAGAACACCCGUGGCUAAGGCGGCUCUCUAGUACGGUACUGACGCUGAGACGCGAAAGCGUGGGGAGCGAACAGG
rnacentral:rRNA from 1 species